AUCGUUCCUCCCUGAUCCCUGCUUCGGUUCCUGCCCUGAUAGAGUGUGACCUGGGAACACAUUCAGCUGGGACCAUGAGGAGCAGCAAAGCCAUCAAUAGAGGUACUUCAGCAGGCGGAAACUCUGAGGCUCCGGUAAGAAAGAAGAAGCCGCUUGCUAAGAAACGAAACUGGCACUGGUACGGGUGGCCAACAAGGGUUAGACUCCAGGCUUCAGAUUCCACGUCAGCUUCAAACAACCCUGUGGCUCCCUCAAGUCGUCCGAAGCGUGCGAUUGACCGCCAGAGAUACGACGAGAACGAAGACUUGUCGGACGUGGAGGAAAUUGUCAGCGUCCGUGGCUUCAGCCUGGAGGAGAAGCUACGUAGCCAGUUAUACCAGGGGGACUUCG
ensembl:processed_transcript Gm44574 predicted gene 44574